rnacentral:rRNA from 1 species
UACGAAGGGGGCUAGCGUUGUUCGGAUUUACUGGGCGUAAAGCGCACGUAGGCGGAUUGUUAAGUCGGGGGUGAAAUCCUGGAGCUCAACUCCAGAAUUGCCUUCGAUACUGGCUUUCUAGAGGCUGGAAGAGGUUAGUGGAAUUCCCAGUGUAGAGGUGAAAUUCGUAGAUAUUGGGAAGAACACCAGUGGCGAAGGCGGAUAACUGGUCCAGAUCUGACGCUGAGGUGCGAAAGCGUGGGGAGCAAACAGG